AUUGAACGCUGGCGGCAGGCCUAACACAUGCAAGUCGAGCGGAGCGGGGACGGGUGAGUAACACGUGGGUAACCUCCCAUCAGAGGGGAUAACACUUGGAAACAGGUGCUAAACCGAUACGGCUGGAUGGACCGGCGGUGCAUUAGCUAGGUGGUGAGGUAACGGCUCACAAAGGCCACGAAGCAUAGCCGACCUGAGAGGGUGAGAGGCCAAACUGGAACUGAGACACGGCCCAGACUCCUACGGGAGGCAGCAGUGGGGAAUAUUCGGCAAUGGACGAAAGUCUGACCGAGCAACGCCGCGUGAGUGAAGAAGGUUUUCGGAUCGUAAAACUCUGUUGUUAGAGAAGCGGUAUCUACCCAAAAAGCCACGGCUAACUACGUGCCAGCAGCCGCGGUAAUUC
rnacentral:rRNA from 1 species